AUUGAACGCUGGCGGCAGGCCUAACACAUGCAAGUCGAACGGUAACAGGAAGAAGCUUGCUUCUUUGCUGACGAGUGGCGGACGGGUGAGUAAUGUCUGGGAAACUGCCUGAUGGAGGGGGAUAACUACUGGAAACGGUAGCUAAUACCGCAUAACGUCGCAAGACCAAAGAGGGGGACCUUCUGGCCUCUUGCCAUCUGAUGUGCCCAGAUGGGAUUAGCUAGUAGGUGGGGUAACGGCUCACCUAGGCGACGAUCCCUAGCUGGUCUGAGAGGAUGACCAGCCACACUGGAACUGAGACACGGUCCAGACUCCUACGGGAGGCAGCAGUGGAGAAUAUUGCACAAUGGGCGCAAGCCUGAUGCAGCCAUGCCGCGUGUAUGAAGAAGACCUUCGGGUUGUAAAGUACUUUCAGCGGGGAGGAAGGGAGUAAAGUUAAUACCGUUGCUCAUUGACGUUACCCGCAGAAGAAGCACCGGCUAACUCCGUG
rnacentral:rRNA from 1 species